rnacentral:rRNA from 1 species
UAUACCGCGAAACUGCGAAUGGCUCAUUAUAUAAGUUAUAGUUUAUUUGAUAGCACCUUACUACAUGGAUAACUGUGGUAAUUCUAGAGCUAAAACAUGCUAAAAAUCCCGACUUCGGAAGGGAUGUGUUUAUUAGAUUAAAAACCAAUGCCCUUCGGGGCUGCUUGGUGAUUCAUAAUAACCUCUCGAAUCGCACGGCCUUGCGCCGGCGAUGGUUCAUUCAAAUUUCUUCCCUAUCAACUUUCGAUGCGAAGGUAUUGUCUUCGCAUGGUUACAACGGGUAACGGAGGGUUAGGGCUCGACCCCGGAGAAGGAGCCUGAGAAACGGCUACUACAUCCAAGGAAGGCAGCAGGCGCGCAAAUUACCCAAUCCCGACACGGGGAGGUAGUGACAAUAAAUACUGAUACAGGGCUCUUUUGGGUCUUGUAAUUGGAAUGAGUACAAUUUAAAUCCCUUAACGAGGAACAAUUGGAGGGCAAGUCUGGUGCCAGCAGCCGCGGUAAUUCCAGCUCCAAUAGCGUAUAUUAAAGUUGUUGUGGUUAAAAAGCUCGUAGUUGAACCUUGGGCCUGGCUGGCCGGUCCCCCUCACCGGGUGCACUGGUCCGGCCGGGCCUUUCCCUCUGUGGAACCGCAUGCCCUUCACUGGGUGUGCCGGGGAAACAGGACUUUUACUUUGAAAAAAUUAGAGUGCUCCAGGCAGGCCUAUGCUCGAAUACAUUAGCAUGGAAUAAUAGAAUAGGACGUGUGGUUCUAUUUUGUUGGUUUCUAGGACCGCCGUAAUGAUUAAUAGGGACAGUCGGGGGCAUCAGUAUUCAAUUGUCAGAGGUGAAAUUCUUGGAUCUAUUGAAGACUAACUACUGCGAAAGCAUUUGCCAAGGAUGUUUUCAUUGAUAAGGAACGAAAGUUAGGGGAUCGAAGACGAUCAGAUACCGUCGUAGUCUUAACUAUAAACUAUGCCGACUAGGGAUCGGACGGUGUUUAUACUUGACCCGUUCGGCACCUUUCGAGAAAUCAAAGUGCUUGGGCUCCAGGGGGAGUAUGGUCGCAAGGCUGAAACUUAAAGAAAUUGACGGAAGGGCACCACCAGGGGUAAACUGAAGCCGUAUCGCUCUGCCCCGAAAAGCGAGCCCGUAACGGGUUCGGUGGUUGCCGGCACUCGCUAGUCGCCGCGUCCAGCGCGGCGGCGACACCCUCAACGUGCGGGGAACCCUCGAAGGGCACCACUCCUAAGUAGCGGUCGAAAGACGCGCUAUGGCGGCGGCGUAAUGGCCGCCGGUACAGGGAAAACGUGGUGCUUAGGAGGCGAUUCGCAGCCAAGCUCCUACCCGCCCCCCCCGGGGGCGCAGGGAGAAAGGUCCAGAGACUUGACGGGGGUGGGUCGGCGGCGCGCAGCCUGC